CAUCGUCGCGCACGGCUCCUACUCUCCCUCGGAUCCUGGCUGCAGCAAGUUCGUGCGCACCCCCCAACACCCACCCCCCCUCUCAGAUUCUUCCCCAUCCUCUCUCUCUCUCCUCAGAUCCUGGCGGCACAGGUGCAAGCGCUGCAGCGAGUUCGCGGGGCUCCGGCAUGUGUGCGCGUGGCCGCGUGGAUCCUGGCGGCGGGGAUCGGAGAGCUCGCGCGGCUCCGGCAUCCCGGCAGCGGCGGAGACGACGCGUGAGCGUGUGGCGGCGUAGAUCCCAGCGGCGGGGCGAGCUCGCACAGCUCCGGUGUCCCGGCAGCGACGUCUCCGGCGCCUGAGCGGGUGACGGCGCAGAUCCCGGCAGCGGGGCGACGGAGCGAGCAGCGCAACGCGCGGAGGAGGGCGGAUCCCGGCUUCUGCCGAGCUUGGGCGGCCUCCUCUUAUUUGUUGACCCUAGAAUCCUGUCUCGAUUGGUGCUGAUGUCGAUUGGUUCAAUAACGAAGGCAGCGAGGGGUGGCUGAGUAUCCAUCAAGAGAGGAAAAUUUAUCUUAUUUGGCUAGCUCCAAAGUUCUGCACAAUGUGGUGCAGUAUGCCCUUGCCUGCUUCCUCACCUCAUGGAUUCAAGCAUGUCAUUCAGUUCAAGAUACAAGUAGGUGACUGACUCGAUGAUCAAGUUAUCAUGAAUAAUGAUGUCUGUUUCAUGGUUUUGCUCAGUAAUUAAAAUCUCUAUAGAUGCAGAAUUUUAAGAAGAGAGCUAUACAUAUUUACAAAGUAAAUCAAGCAAUUAUCUGCAGAAAUUAUAGGAUCUAGGAUGUUUUGCAAGGGAAGGUACUUUCGAUGUAGGAUAAAUAGCUGUAUUGACAAAUAGUAGUGAAGGUAAACUCAACCGACUUGGUAGGCAUGUGACAUUUCUGAUGGACUGUUAACUGAAUGUCGGGAUCCAUAAAAAUGCCACCAUCUCUGAAUGUGUCCUUCAGUCUAAAUAUUCAAACCUGUUUCCAUUGGUUUGUAGUAUAUGCUUGUUAUGAACAGCUGCGAUAGCUGAACUCUGUUGGUCCAAAUUUCUAACCGGGAUCCUUUUGCAGGCCAUGUUUUCAAGUCGUCCGAUUAAUCGCGAUUAAUCGCCCAGGUCGGUUCUCCAAGUCCGACCAGCACCACCGACCCGACCAGAGCGACCAGAAACCUGGUCGUCCGAUUAGUCGUCCACUAAUCGCGAUUAGUCGGUCGACCAGGGCAUUUCUCGACCAGGGCAGCAUGAAGGUUUCUCACUUUCUCCUAACAACUUCAUUUUUUUGUUUCAGCAGCAGGGAUUCAGCAAGAAAAAUAUGGAGUUUUGGACAAGAAGCUGGAGUUCUGGAGAGCAAAUAUCAAAAAAACUACUGGGCGCUAUUAGAUUCAUACUAGAGGGGGAACCAGGAAAAGGCCAAUGUUGGAGAGACAUUGCUCGAUGCCGUCACAGCUGGUGACCAUCUCAAUAUGGACAUUCAAACCCAGGAAGGAAAUUUACUAUGUGGAUGUGUUUGUGUAAUCAACAUAACAACUUUGUACUUUGUGUGAAACAUAUAUUUCUUAGUUUGAACUAUAGAUCAUGUGUUGUUUGGUUUACGUCUGAAA